UGUCAAGGGGUGGGAAUCGAACCCACGACCUUCCGUUUACCGGGCAGAUGCCAUGACCACUAGGCUACCCUGGAC
rnacentral:tRNA from 1 species